rnacentral:rRNA from 1 species
GGGUUGUGAGGUUAAGCGACUAAGCGUACACGGUGGAUGCCCUGGCAGUCAGAGGCGAUGAAGGNNUCGUCACACUAUCAUUAACUGAAUCCAUAGGUUAAUGAGGCGAACCGGGGGAACUGAAACAUCUAAGUACCCCGAGGAAAAGAAAUCAACCGAGAUUCCCCCAGUAGCGGCGAGCGAACGGGGAGGAGCCCAGAGCCUGAAUCAGCAUGUGUGUUAGUGGAAGCGUCUGGAAAGGCGCGCGAUACAGGGUGACAGCCCCGUACACAAAAGCGCAUGUGCUGUGAGCUCGAUGAGUAGGGCGGGACACGUGGUAUCCUGUCUGAAUAUGGGGGGACCAUCCUCCAAGGCUAAAUACUCCUGACUGACCGAUAGUGAACCAGUACCGUGAGGGAAAGGCGAAAAGAACCCCGGCGAGGGGAGUGAAAAAGAACCUGAAACCGUGUACGUACAAGCAGUGGGAGCNNGUGACUGCGUACCUUUUGUAUAAUGGGUCAGCGACUUAUAUUCUGUAGCAAGGUUAACCGAAUAGGGGAGCCGGAGGGAAACCGAGUCUUAAUUGGGCGUUAAGUUGCAGGGUAUAGACCCGAAACCCGGUGAUCUAGCCAUGGGCAGGUUGAAGGUUGGGUAACACUAACUGGAGGACCGAACCGACUAAUGUUGAAAAAUUAGCGGAUGACCUGUGGCUGGGGGUGAAAGGCCAAUCAAACCGGGAGAUAGCUGGUUCUCCCCGAAAGCUAUUUAGGUAGCGCCUCGUGAAUUCAUCUCCGGGGGUAGAGCACUGUUUCGGCUAGGGGGCCAUCCCGGCUUACCAACCCGAUGCAAACUGCGAAUACCGGAGAAUGUUAUCACGGGAGACACACGGCGGGUGCUAACGUCCGUCGUGAAGAGGGAAACAACCCAGACCGCCAGCUAAGGUCCCAAAGUCAUGGUUAAGUGGGAAACGAUGUGGGAAGGCCCAGACAGCCAGGAUGUUGGCUUAGAAGCAGCCAUCAUUUAAAGAAAGCGUAAUAGCUCACUGGUCGAGUCGGCCUGCGCGGAAGAUGUAACGGGGCUAAACCAUGCACCGAAGCUGCGGCAGCGANNGUUGGGUAGGGGAGCGUUCUGUAAGCCUGCGAAGGUGGCCUGUGAGGGUUGCUGGAGGUAUCAGAAGUGCGAAUGCUGACAUAAGUAACGAUAAAGCGGGUGAAAAGCCCGCUCGCCGGAAGACCAAGGGUUCCUGUCCAACGUUAAUCGGGGCAGGGUGAGUCGACCCCUAAGGCGAGGCCGAAAGGCGUAGUCGAUGGGAAACGGGUUAAUAUUCCCGUACUUGGUGUUACUGCGAAGGGGGGACGGAGAAGGCUAUGUUGGCCGGGCGACGGUUGUCCCGGUUUAAGCGUGUAGGUGUGUGUUCCAGGUAAAUCCGGUUCACUUUAACACUGAGGCGUGAUGACGAGGCACUACGGUGCUGAAGCAACAAAUGCCCUGCUUCCAGGAAAAGCCUCUAAGCAUCAGGUAACAUCAAAUCGUACCCCAAACCGACACAGGUGGUCAGGUAGAGAAUACCAAGGCGCUUGAGAGAACUCGGGUGAAGGAACUAGGCAAAAUGGUGCCGUAACUUCGGGAGAAGGCACGCUGACAUGUAGGUGAAGUGAUUUACUCAUGGAGCUGAAGUCAGUCGAAGAUACCAGCUGGCUGCAACUGUUUAUUAAAAACACAGCACUGUGCAAACACGAAAGUGGACGUAUACGGUGUGACGCCUGCCCGGUGCCGGAAGGUUAAUUGAUGGGGUCAGCGCAAGCGAAGCUCCUGAUCGAAGCCCCGGUAAACGGCGGCCGUAACUAUAACGGUCCUAAGGUAGCGAAAUUCCUUGUCGGGUAAGUUCCGACCUGCACGAAUGGCGUAAUGAUGGCCAGGCUGUCUCCACCCGAGACUCAGUGAAAUUGAACUCGCUGUGAAGAUGCAGUGUACCCGCGGCAAGACGGAAAGACCCCGUGAACCUUUACUAUAGCUUGACACUGAACAUUGAGCCUUGAUGUGUAGGAUAGGUGGGAGGCUUUGAAGCGUGGACGCCAGUCUGCGUGGAGCCGACCUUGAAAUACCACCCUUUAAUGUUUGAUGUUCUAACGUGGACCCGUAAUCCGGGUUGCGGACAGUGUCUGGUGGGUAGUUUGACUGGGGCGGUCUCCUCCUAAAGAGUAACGGAGGAGCACGAAGGUUGGCUAAUCCUGGUCGGACAUCAGGAGGUUAGUGCAAUGGCAUAAGCCAGCUUGACUGCGAGCGUGACGGCGCGAGCAGGUGCGAAAGCAGGUCAUAGUGAUCCGGUGGUUCUGAAUGGAAGGGCCAUCGCUCAACGGAUAAAAGGUACUCCGGGGAUAACAGGCUGAUACCGCCCAAGAGUUCAUAUCGACGGCGGUGUUUGGCACCUCGAUGUCGGCUCAUCACAUCCUGGGGCUGAAGUAGGUCCCAAGGGUAUGGCUGUUCGCCAUUUAAAGUGGUACGCGAGCUGGGUUUAGAACGUCGUGAGACAGUUCGGUCCCUAUCUGCCGUGGGCGCUGGAGAACUGAGGGGGGCUGCUCCUAGUACGAGAGGACCGGAGUGGACGCAUCACUGGUGUUCGGGUUGUCAUGCCAAUGGCACUGCCCGGUAGCUAAAUGCGGAAGAGAUAAGUGCUGAAAGCAUCUAAGCACGAAACUUGCCCCGAGAUGAGUUCUCCCUGAGACUU